CUUCAACGACCCCAGCCACAAAGGCCGUUCAUCGGGUCGGCCCUGCCCGUACGUGGCGAUCAACGCCUGCGCCUC
rnacentral:antisense_RNA from 1 species